UCAACUAAGGAUAUAAAGAAAAAGCCACAUUGGGACUGAUUUUGUGGAGUUAGUUAAUAGGAAAUACCAGAAGUCCUUGCUCAUGUAAAUGAACUUUUAACCACAAGAUGGUACUUAAAUUCCCAUUGAUUCUGCAAGCUUGAAUACAUGUCUUCCUGCAUCGUGACUACACAUGAAUGUGGCCUUCUUUCUUCCCAAUGCCUGGUUUUCUAGGGAUGGUAAUAAGAAGUAUAGACUGAUGGUUAAGUUGUUUACUGUUUGGAAACUAUGAGAACUGGAGAAAUGCAUAGCUUUCCUCUAUUCAGGACCAAAUCCUUUUAUUAUCUUGAAGGCUUAUUGUGAUUUUAAAAAGUUCAGGAUUGUUGCUGGUGUAAAAAGUGGUUCUUAGUCACUUGGGAAUAAUCCCGAAAGGAACACUGGGAAUGUUUGUAUUUAGCACCCACCAGACAAGAAAAUAAUCUUCCAACAAUUAAAUAUAAAUUGUAACAUAACUUUUCUCUUGGAAAGUUUGCUUAUUGAAGUCUUAGUUCUCUUAUCUUAGAAUUGUAUUCUCAUUGCUUUUGGCUGAUAGCAAAACAUUUGGUUUCUCCUAGUCCUUAAACAAUUUAACAGCCUCUUCUUAUGACAACUUGAUAUAGGCCUACUGAGUGUCAGUUUAGCACAUCUUUACCAAAAUAAUUCCACAACUAUUCAAAACUGGCAUACAAAAUUAUGUUAGUUUUUGUCCACUUCCGGCUUCCUGACCAGAUUUUUAGUUUUGAGUUUUCCAUGUGCCAGUGUUUAUUACUUGAGACAGGAUGAUUGAAUGUAGCAGUCAGCUAGAGAAAACUGGUCUUUAUGCUUUUGAAACACUUUACUUUUCAUUCGAUCAAUGAAAAUAUUGGAUUUUAGUUUUAUACAUGUAAAAAAAUCAAUAGAGACCCAUUGUGACUCUGUGCCAACAGUCAGGAAUUGCCA